rnacentral:rRNA from 1 species
GACGAACGCUGGCGGCGUGCUUAACACAUGCAAGUCGAACGGAAAGGCCCUGCUGUUGUGGGCUGCUCGAGUGGCGAACGGGUGCGUAACACGGGAGUAACCUGCCCUUGACUUUGGGAUAGCUUCAGGAAACUGGGGCUAAUACCGGAUAGGAGCUCCUGCUGCAUGGUGGGGGUUGGAAAGUUUCGGCGGUUGGGGAUGGACUCGCGGCUUAUCAGCUUGUUGGUGGGGUAGUGGCUUACCAAGGCUUUGACGGGUCGCCGGCCUGAGAGGGUGACCGGCCACAUUGGGACUGAGAGACGGCCCAGACUGCUACGGGAGGCAGCAGUGGGGAAUAUUGCAAAAUGGGCGGAAGCCUGAUGCAACAACGCCGCGUGCGGGAUGACGGCCUUAGGGGUGUAAACCGCUUUCGCCUGUGACGAAGCGUGAGUGACGGUAACGGGUAAAGAAGCACCGGCUAACUACGUG